UACAGAGGGUGCAAACGUUGCUCGGAAUUAUUGGGCGUAAAGCGCGUGUAGGCGGUCUUUUAGGCCGGCUGUGAAAUCCCAUGGCUCAACCAUGGAAGGGCGGCCGGAACCGGGGAGACUAGAGUUCUGACGAGGAUGGCGGAAUUCCCAGUGUAGAGGUGAAAUUCGUAGAUAUUGGGAGGAACACCGGUGGCGAAAGCGGCCCCCUGGCCCGGUCCUGACGCUGAGGCGCGAAAGCGUGGGGAGCAAACAGG
rnacentral:rRNA from 1 species